rnacentral:tmRNA from 1 species
GGGGUCGUACCGGUUUUGACAGCGAGUGCGAUUUUUAUGUAAGCAUGUCGUGUGUUGUGAAUAUGGCACGUAAAUCCUAAUUCUCAAACUAGUAACAGGCGAGUCUAACUACGCUAUGGCUGCUUAAUACCAAGUAUUAAGUGCCUUUGUUUCCGGAGAAGCUCUGAUCUUCUGCGUCUCCAGUGAAGCAUAACAAAUGAAGAAAUAGUUGCGGAGUGUUUCGAUCCGUGAUGAGAUAAAGAGACUAAGUAAGCCUUUUGGUUGGCAGCCCUACCUAAGCUUAUCGAAAAUUAAAGAGCUGAUACACAUGUAGAAAGCAUAUUAAUUCCUUGUUUGGACGAGAGUUCGAUUCUCUCCGACUCCACCU